GAGAGGUGGCAGAGUGGUCGAAUGCACCGCACUCGAAAUGCGGCGUACCGGCAACGGUACCGAGGGUUCGAAUCCCUCCCUCUCC
rnacentral:tRNA from 1 species